rnacentral:rRNA from 1 species
UACAGAGGGGGCAAGCGUUGUUCGGAAUUACUGGGCGUAAAGGGCGCGUAGGCGGCCUGCUAAGUCGAACGUGAAAUCCCUGGGCUCAACCCAGGAACUGCGUCCGAUACUAGUUGGCUUGAAUCCGGGAGAGGGAUGUGGAAUUCCAGGUGUAGCGGUGAAAUGCGUAGAUAUCUGGAGGAACACCGGUGGCGAAGGCGACAUCCUGGACCGGUAUUGACGCUGAGGCGCGAAAGCCAGGGGAGCAAACGGG